AUAUACGACCAUAGGGUGUGGAAAACAGGGCUUCCCGUCCGCUCAGCCGUACUUAAGCCACACGCCGGCCGGUUGGGUGGGUGACCACCAGCGAAUCCCCUGUUGUAUGUU
rnacentral:rRNA from 1 species